GCAUGUAAUUAUUAAUGAUUUCAUUUUCUCAGAUUUAUAAUUAUCUAAAGUAUAAUAAUAAAUUAUUAUUUUUCUUUAAAAAUAUAACUUAUAAAAUUUAAAACAAUAAUAUCAAAUUAAGUAAUGCAUGUUUAAAAAUACUUUAUAUAAGCAUUUUAACUUUUAAUGUUGCUUAAUGUGUGAGUGUGUGCUUGCGUGCUUGCCAUUUGUCUUUGCUGUUUCCUCCCACCUGGUCCACAUAAUGGAGGAAAGCGGGGGCUAUAAAGUACAGAAUGAAAUCAUGGAUGGAGAAACUCAUCACAACCUAGCUACUGCCUCUGCUACUGCUACCCAUACUACUCGUAUUUCUCCUGUAACAGUAAGUAAUUGUUGGGCUUGACUGCUGUGAUUUUAGAUUCUAUAGUUAAUUGAUUGCAUUUUAACUGUUAUUCAGUUUCUUUUGUCUUUUAUAUUUAAUUUAUAAUAACUAUAUUUUUUUCCCUGUUAAAUACAAUUUGAAAUUAAAUUCUUGCACUAACAUUUCAUAUUUAUUUCUAUUUUUGUAAAAUUUAUUAAAUAUUCUUGCC
rnacentral:lncRNA from 1 species